rnacentral:rRNA from 1 species
UACGUAGGGUGCAAGCGUUAUCCGGAAUUAUUGGGCGUAAAGAGCUCGUAGGCGGUUUGUCGCGUCGAAUGUGAAAUCUCAGGGCUCAACUCUGACAUUGCAUUCGAUACGGGCAGACUAGAGUGCGGUAGGGGAGAGUGGAAUUCCUGGUGUAGCGGUGAAAUGCGUAGAUAUCAGGAGGAACACCGGUGGCGAAGGCGGCUCUCUGGACCACAACUGACGCUGAGGCGCGAAAGCUAGGGGAGCAAACAGG